UACGAGGGGGGCAAAUGUUGUUCGGAAUCACUGGGCGUAAAGGGAGCGUAGGCGGGUUUCUAAGUCAGGUGUUUAAUCCCGGGGCCCAACCCCGGACAGGCACUUGAAACUGGGAAUCUUGAAUAGUGGAGAGGUCAGUGGAAUUGGGGGUGUAGCGGUGGAACGCGUAGAGAUCCCCAAGAACACCAGUUGCGAAGGCGGCUGACUGGACACAUAUUGACGCUGAGGCUCGAAAGCAUGGGGAGCAAACAGG
rnacentral:rRNA from 1 species